rnacentral:rRNA from 1 species
UACGUAGGGGGCUAGCGUUGUCCGGAAUCAUUGGGCGUAAAGCGUGCGUAGGUGGUUCGUUAAGUCUGAUGUGAAAGCCCUGGGCUCAACCUGGGAAUGGCAUUGGAUACUGGCGACCUAGAGUGCGGUAGAGGGUGGCGGAAUUCCCGGUGUAGCAGUGAAAUGCGUAGAUAUCGGGAGGAACAUCCGUGGCGAAGGCGGCCACCUGGACCAGCACUGACACUGAGGCACGAAAGCGUGGGGAGCAAACAGG